rnacentral:rRNA from 1 species
GAAGGUGGCUAGCGUUGUUCGGUGUCACUGGGCUUAAAGCGUAUGUAGGCGGAAGAGUAAGCGUUUUGUGAAAUCCCUCGGCUUAACCGAGGAAUUGCUUGACGAACUGCUUUUCUUGAGGCAAGUAGGGGUGCAUGGAACUCUUGGUGGAGCGGUGGAAUGCGUAGAUAUCAAGAGGAACGCCAAUGGAGAAAUCAGUGCACUGGGCUUGUCCUGACGCUGAGAUACGAAAGCGUGGGGGGAGCGAACGGGAUUAGAUACCCCGGUAGUCCACGCUGUAAACGAUGUCUACUAGGUUGUGGGAGUUCUGACACUGUCGCGACCGAAGCAAAAGUGUUAAGUAGACCGCCUGGGAGUACGGUCGCAAGGCUA